GAGUUCGCGCCUGAUUAGCUAGUUGGUGAGGUAACGGCCCACCAAGGCAACGAUCAGUAGCCGGCCUGAGAGGGCGUACGGCCACACUGGAACUGAGACACGGUCCAGACUCCUACGGGAGGCAGCAGUGGGGAAUUUUGCGCAAUGGGCGAAAGCCUGACGCAGCAACGCCGCGUGGAGGAUGAAGGCCUUCGGGUCGUAAACUCCUGUCAGGGGGGAAGAAAUCCGCGCAAGCGGGCUGACUGUACCCCCGGAGGAAGCCACGGCUAACUCCGUGCCAGCAGCCGCGGUAAUACGGAGGUGGCAAGCGUUGUUCGGAAUUACUGGGCGUAAAGGGCGCGUAGGCGGCUAGGCAAGUCAGGUGUGAAAGCCCCGGGCUUAACUCGGGAACUGCAUCUGAAACUGCCUUGCUUGAGU
rnacentral:rRNA from 1 species